UACGGAGGGGACUAGCGUUGUUCGGCCUUACUGGGCGUAAAGCGCACGUAGGCGGAUUUGUAAGUCAGGGGUGAAAUCCCGGGACUCAACCUCGGAACUGCCUUUGAUACUGCAAAUCUCGAGUCCGGAAGAGGUGAGUGGAAUUCCUAGUGUAGAGGUGAAAUUCGUAGAUAUUAGGAAGAACACCAGUGGCGAAGGCGGCUCACUGGUCCGGUACUGACGCUGAGGUGCGAAAGCGUGGGGAGCAAACAGG
rnacentral:rRNA from 1 species